rnacentral:rRNA from 1 species
AACGAACGCUGGCGGCAGGCCUAACACAUGCAAGUCGAACGCAUCCUUCGGGGUGAGUGGCAGACGGGUGAGUAACGCGUGGGAACGUGCCCUUCAGUUCGGGAUAACCCAGGGAAACUUGGGCUAAUACCGGAUACGUGCGAGAGCAGAAAGAUUUAUCGCUGAAGGAUCGGCCCGCGUCUGAUUAGCUAGUUGGUGAGGUAAUGGCUCACCAAGGCGACGAUCAGUAGCUGGUCUGAGAGGAUGAUCAGCCACAUUGGGACUGAGACACGGCCCAAACUCCUACGGGAGGCAGCAGUGGGGAAUAUUGGACAAUGGGCGCAAGCCUGAUCCAGCCAUGCCGCGUGAGUGAUGAAGGCCUUAGGGUUGUAAAGCUCUUUCGUCCGGGACGAUAAUGACGGUACCGGAAGAAGAAGCCCCGGCUAACUUCGUGCCAGCCGCCGCGGUAAGAC